rnacentral:rRNA from 1 species
AUUGAACGCUGGCGGCAUGCCUUACACAUGCAAGUCGAACGGCAGCACGGGUGCUUGCACCUGGUGGCGAGUGGCGAACGGGUGAGUAAUACAUCGGAACAUGUCCUGUAGUGGGGGAUAGCCCGGCGAAAGCCGGAUUAAUACCGCAUACGAUCCACGGAUGAAAGCGGGGGACCUUCGGGCCUCGCGCUAUAGGGUUGGCCGAUGGCUGAUUAGCUAGUUGGUGGGGUAAAGGCCUACCAAGGCGACGAUCAGUAGCUGGUCUGAGAGGACGACCAGCCACACUGGGACUGAGACAUGGCCCAGACUCCUACGGGAGGCAGCAGUGGGGAAUUUUGGACAAUGGGCGAAAGCCUGAUCCAGCAAUGCCGCGUGUGUGAAGAAGGCCUUCGGGUUGUAAAGCACUUUUGUCCGGAAAGAAAUCCUUGGCUCUAAUACAGUCGGGGGAUGACGGUACCGGAAGAAUAAGCACCGGCUAACUACGUG